GACGAACGCUGGCGGCGUGCUUAACACAUGCAAGUCGAACGGAAAGGCCCUGCUUUUGUGGGGUGCUCGAGUGGCGAACGGGUGAGUAACACGUGAGUAACCUGCCCUUGACUUUGGGAUAACUUCAGGAAACUGGGGCUAAUACCGGAUAGGAGCUCCUGCUGCAUGGUGUGGGUUGGAAAGUUUCGGCGGUUGGGGAUGGACUCGCGGCUUAUCAGCUUGUUGGUGGGGUAGUGGCUUACCAAGGCUUUGACGGGUAGCCGGCCUGAGAGGGUGACCGGCCACAUUGGGACUGAGAUACGGACCAGACUCCUACGGGAGGCAGCAGGGGGGAAUAUUGCACAAUGGGCGGAAGCCUGAUGCAGCAACGCCGCGUGCGGGAUGACGGCCUUCGGGUUGUAAACCGCUUUCGCCUGUGACGAAGCGUGAGUGACGGUAAUGGGUAAAGAAGCACCGGCUAACUACGUG
rnacentral:rRNA from 1 species